rnacentral:rRNA from 1 species
AGUGAACGCUGGCGGUAGGCCUAACACAUGCAAGUCGAACGGCAGCACAGUAAGAGCUUGCUCUUACGGGUGGCGAGUGGCGGACGGGUGAGGAAUACAUCGGAAUCUACUUUUUCGUGGGGGAUAACGUAGGGAAACUUACGCUAAUACCGCAUACGACCUACGGGUGAAAGCAGGGGAUCUUCGGACCUUGCGCGAUUGAAUGAGCCGAUGUCGGAUUAGCUAGUUGGCGGGGUAAAGGCCCACCAAGGCGACGAUCCGUAGCUGGUCUGAGAGGAUGAUCAGCCACACUGGAACUGAGACACGGUCCAGACUCCUACGGGAGGCAGCAGUGGGGAAUAUUGGACAAUGGGCGCAAGCCUGAUCCAGACAUACCGCGUGGGUGAAGAAGGCCCUCGGGUUGUAAAGCCCUUUUGUUGGGAAAGAAAAGCAGCAGGUUAAUACCCCGCUGUUCUGACGGUACCCAAAGAAUAAGCACCGGCUAACUUCGUG